UACGUAGGGACCAAGCGUUGUCCGGAAUCAUUGGGCGUAAAGAGCGUGUAGGCGGCUUGUUAAGUCUUGCGUGAAAUCUCGGGGCUCAACCCCGAGCGGUCGUGAGAAACUGGCAGGCUAGAGUGCGGGAGAGGAGAGUGGAAUUCCUGGUGUAGCGGUGGAAUGCGCAGAUAUCGGGAGGAACACCGAUGGCGAAGGCAGUUCUCUGGGCCGUAACUGACGCUGAGGAGCGAAAGCAUGGGGAGCGAACGGGG
rnacentral:rRNA from 1 species